GGGCCGCUGGCGGCUCGGGCCGGGCGUCGGCUGCGGCCUGCGCGUGUCUGGCCCGCCCGGCCCGGCGUGACCAGGCCGCGGGGGGCGACGGGGCCCGGCCCGGCGAGUCCUUGGGCAGGACCUUGGGCCGGGGCGGCGGGCGGGAGCUGGGGGUGCCGCCGCCCCCCACCCCGCUCCUGGCUCCCGGAGCCCCUCGGGCGCUGCGCCCGCCGGGGGGGGGUCCCCUGACCGGGCUUGGGGGUAGGUGGGGUCUCGGACCCCGACGCCUUGGUGGGGGCGAGUGGGGGGGGCUGCCCCCUCAGCGCUGGGGGGGGCCCGGCUUUGUUCAGAGGCCGCCCCCCCGCAGCACCCGAGUGCUGUUAAACCGAUUGCAAACAGCACGAAGUCUCCGGGUGCGGGGGCGCGGGUGAAAUGGCAUCGCAGCCCCGCCGGCCAGGGCACGCCAGACAGGCCUUCCCCGGCUCCUGGCGCUGGGCCUGGAUCGCAGGUUCCCGGGAGACCUUCUGGUGAAUGGGAAGAGAUGGGGGAAGUGGAGCCCUGCCUUCAUCCAGGCUGGCAGCUCGGCUGCUCCUAGGAGGUGUCGGUCUGUUGGCAGUUCCCAGGCUGGGCCGGGCCGGGAACCUCCCUGGAAAACGGGGCUUCUGUGUAUUUGUUGCUGGGGCCCUUGACAGUUCGUUCUCUUUGUUUUCGCAACUGUAGCAGCGGUGUCCCCGCCUGUCCUUUCCCCUCUUUCCAACGUCCUAAAACAGAUUUAGGGUGGGGUUUUCAAAUGACCCUAAAGGAGUUAGGCACCAAAUGCCCGUUUCUAUGGGAUUUGCGCAUCAAACUCCUUAAGCCUGGUCUAUGCUAGGAAAUUAGCUUGUUAUAACUGCAUCUCUUGGGGGCUCUGUCGACCUAGCUACUGUCUGUCCGGGAGGUGGACUACCCUCCCUGCCUCGCGAACCCCUCCUGUAGGUGUAGGUAGCAUCUUCUCUGCAGCAGUAGCACGGCACAGCUGCGCACUGGUUUAUGUGUAGACAUAUCCUUAUUUUCCUUUGAAAAUCCGAGCCCUGUAACUUUCCCAAAUGAAUGUGAUGAUCCAUAAUAUUGAUGCUACAGUGUUUUCAAGAUUGCAAGCCAUUUCAGCCCCCCCCCCCCCCCCCCCACUGAGAUGUCCUAUUAUUGUUUAAAUGUCACUUGUUUCUUUCAUACUUUUUUUAAUUGGGUGAGUGGUGUGUGAAAAGUAAGAGAAUUCUUCUGAGAUGGUGUAUAUUCAUAAACUCUGGAAGGCUUUGUGCCAGGAUCAUGGACGGGACAGCUACAACAGAAAACACCGAACCAUACAAGAUGGAAAAUGCAAUUACUAUUUUCAAGUUUUCCCUUCGUUUUGCAGUCAUGCCUGUAAAAUCAAGGAAGACAUUAAUACAAUAGCUUUUAGGAUGUAUGUUGGAUAAUUCUAUGUAGAGUAAAAGAAGUUUUAAAGCUGCUAGUAACAAUAUUUUGAGUGUGAUUAGAUGCAGCUUGUAAGUAUUUGUGGAAUGUUUACCCAAACACUAUAAUUGUACGCUUUCCAAAAAUGAACUUUCAGCAAAGUAGGCCAGGCCAGUGAUAACAUUUGUAAGGAUAAAGUUAAUACCAUUAUUUCUGAAGAUCUGCGCAAUUUUUGUACUUUUCUAAAAUCUUUUGAAUUUCUCCUUUCAAAGAAAUUGCUUCACCAACUUUUUGACGGUGCAGAGAGAUGUGAAACCAUACUUUUGCCAUACCAAUUUAACCUGCCAAUACGCUUAAUCUCCAUAAUGACAGGUUUCAGAGUAGCAGCCGUGUUAGUCUGUAUUCGCAAAAAGAAAAGGAGUACUUGUGGCACCUUAGAGACUAACUAAUUUAUUUGAGCAUAAGCUUUCGUGAGCUACAGCUCACUUCAUCGGAUGCUCAAAUAAAUUUGUUAGUCUCUAAGGUGCCACAAGUACUCCUUAAUCUCCAUACUAUAUCAAUAUUAUUGAUGAUACAUUUUUAAAAAUUAGAAGCAAGGGAGAAGUCUUAGUUUGAGCCUUUUCUUUUUGUUGUGUCCCAUGGUGUGACUUCGCUUCAGAGAAUUUUCUUAUAUUGCUUUGAUAAGCAUUUUGGACACGUUUUCUAUCUAAAAAUUCUGUAAUCUGGUUGCCCAUUUCUUUAUCUUAAAAGAUCUUUAAUAUAUUGAUAUUCUACUUUUUUGGGCUGUAGUAUAGUUCAGCAAGGACCCUGACAUUAUUUAAAGCACUGUUUUCCGAUAUUAAACUUUAUAUAAUAGUA